rnacentral:rRNA from 1 species
CCUACGGGUGGCAGCAGUGAGGAAUAUUGGUCAAUGGACGAGAGUCUGAACCAGCCAAGUAGCGUGAAUGAUGACUGCCCUAUGGGUUGUAAACUUCUUUUAUAUGGGAAUAAAACAAGGUAUGCAUACCCUCUUUUCUGUACCAUAUGAAUAAGGAUCGGCGAACUCCGUGCCAGCAGCCGCGGUAAUACGGAGGAUCCGAGCGUUAUCCGGAUUUAUUGGGUUUAACGGGAGCGUAGGUGGAUUUUUAAGUCAGUUGUGAAAGUUUGCGGCUCAACCGUAAAAUUGCAGUUGAAACUGGCAGUCUUGAGUACAGUAGAGGUGGGCGGAAUUCGUGUUGUAGCGGUGAAAUGCUUAGAUAUCACGAAGAACUCCGAUUGCGAAGGCAGCUCACUGGACUGCAACUGACACUGAUGCUCGAAAGUGUGGGUAUCAAACAGGAUUAGAUACCCGAGUAGGC